AUACGUAGGGUGCUAGCGUUAUCCGGAUUUACUGGGCGUAAAGGGUGCGUAGGUGGUCUUUCAAGUCGGUGGUUAAAGGCUACGGCUCAACCGUAUUAAGCCGCCGAAACUGGAAGAAUUGAGUGCAGGAGAGGAAAGUGGAAUUCUCAGUGUAGCGGUGAAAUGCGUAGAUAUUGAGAAGAACAUCAGUAGCGAAGGCGGCUUUCUGGACUGUAACUGACACUGAGGCACGAAAGCGUGGGUAGCAAACAGGAUUAGAUACCCUGGUAGUCCACGCCGUAAACGAUGAGUAUUAGGUGUCGGGGGUUACCCCCCUCGGUGCCGCAGUUAACGCAUUAAAUACUCCGCCUGGGGAGUACGCGCGCAAGUGUGAAACUUAAAUGAAUUGACGGGG
rnacentral:rRNA from 1 species